rnacentral:rRNA from 1 species
GACGAACCGUGCGAACGUUGUUCGGAAUCACUGGGCUUAAAGGGUGCGUAGGCGGCGCGGUAAGUCGGGUGUGAAAGUCUCGGAGCUUAACUCCGAAACUGCAUUCGAUACUGCCGUGCUUGAGGACUGGAGAGGAGACUGGAAUUCAUGGUGUAGCAGUGAAAUGACGUAGAGAUCAUGAGGAAGACCAGUGGCGAAGGCGGGUCUCUGGACAGUUCCUGACACUGAGACACGAAGGCCGGGGAGCAAACGGG